UACGAAGGGGGCUAGCGUUGUUCGGAUUUACUGGGCGUAAAGCGCACGUAGGCGGAUCGUUAAGUCGGGGGUGAAAUCCUGGAGCUCAACUCCAGAACUGCCUUCGAUACUGGCGAUCUUGAGUCCGGAAGAGGUGAGUGGAACUCCGAGUGUAGAGGUGAAAUUCGUAGAUAUUCGGAAGAACACCAGUGGCGAAGGCGGCUCACUGGCCCGGUACUGACGCUGAGGCGCGAAAGCUAGGGGAGCAAACAGGG
rnacentral:rRNA from 1 species